GGAGUCUAUGCCCUCCACACCAUGAAUCCGGGAUGGCUUGUGACUUACUUUGACCAAUAGAAUGUGGCAGAGUGACAUUGUGUGACAUUUGAGGUGAAGUUUCAACAGGACUUGCAGAUUCUUUUUUCAUUGUCUUGAAAAUAAUCUACCAUUGAGGAAGCCCAGAUAACAGGCUGGCUCAGUGGAGGAGAACUGAGGUGCCAAGCGAAAAGACUUGCCAACUGCCGCACACAGAAAUGAGGCUUUCCAGAUCAAACCAGCCCUGGUCAACCAGCCACCUGGUCACAAACAUGAGGAAGCCCAGGUGGAGCAGAGAACAAGAAACAGAUCGAGGAAGAGGCAGAGUAACAACAGCCGGGAAGAAGAUACAGUUUUAUGACUGCCUUUUCACUUAACUGUGUCCUCAUAUGGAAGAGAGGAGAAAAGAGGAGAGGAGGGGAGAGGAUUGCCUCCUUUACUGUAUGUUUUCCACUGAGAUGAAGAUUUUGGUCAUUUCCUCAUUCAUGUUCCUGCUUUUCAAAACCCAAGCAAGAAAGGAAACUUCUACAGUGACUUUCUCAUUAUGAAAUCUUAGCAUUCACUAGUCGGCCAUAAUGGAAAACCAGCCAAAUGGACACAUAUACACUGGUCUGUACCCGCAGAGAAAGAAAUGCAAAUCUCUGUGAUCAGAAAACUAUCCUAUCUUGUACAUUGUUAAAAGUCUGCCUCCAAAAAGUUUACUUCUGGAAUACUGUAAUUGAAUAGAAUCAGGGAUCCUACCUGUGUCCUUCAACUUUCACAUCUUGUCUACUCAAGUAAGGGUUGAAUUUGCAUGACUAUAUCUAAGGUUCGAGGGCUUACCUGUUGGCAGUAGACCCAGUAGUCUAUGAAUGGAAAUGGGCAAACCUGUGACCUCCCAAAACUUUAAUAUGAAAGUUUUGUUUGUGUAUACUCAUGGCAUUAUUCUUUUAAUAAAGAGAUAAUCUAUAUAGUUUUCUUUUUUAAAAGAUACUUUUAUUUCUUUAUUGUUGGGAACUGACACAGCUAAUUUCUUUCUGAAGAGGUUCUUUGGUUGAGAAUGG
rnacentral:lncRNA from 1 species